UACGUAGGGUGCAAGCGUUAAUCGGAAUUACUGGGCGUAAAGCGUGCGCAGGCGGUUUUGUAAGUCUGUCGUGAAAGCCCCGGGCUCAACCUGGGAAUUGCGAUGGAGACUGCAAGGCUUGAAUCUGGCAGAGGGGGGUAGAAUUCCACGUGUAGCAGUGAAAUGCGUAGAGAUGUGGAGGAACACCGAUGGCGAAGGCAGCCUCCUGGGCCAACACUGACGCUCAUGCACGAAAGCGUGGGGAGCAAACAGG
rnacentral:rRNA from 1 species